rnacentral:rRNA from 1 species
GACGAACGCUGGCGGCGUGCUUAACACAUGCAAGUCGAACGGUGAAGCGCCUUCCUUUUUGGUGGGUGUGGAUGAGUGGCGAACGGGUGAGUAACACGUGAGUAACCUGCCCCCUUCUUCUGGAUAACCGCAUGAAAGUGUGGCUAAUACGGGAUAUUCUGGGUCUGUCGCAUGAUGGGUCUGGGAAAGAUAUUGUUUCGGUGGGGGAUGGGCUCGCGGCCUAUCAGCUUGUUGGUGGGGUGAUGGCCUACCAAGGCGGUGGCGGGUAGCCGGCCUGAGAGGGUGGGCGGUCGCACUGGGGCUGAGGCACGGACCGGACUCCGACGAGGGGCAGCGGAGGGGAAUAUUGCACGUUGGGCGGAAGGCUGAUGCAGCGACGCCGCGUGGGGGAUGGAGGCCUUGGGGUUGUGAACCUCUUUCGCGAGUGAAGCAGGGCGGCCUCGUUUGUGGGUGGGUUGACGGUAGCUGGAUAAGAAGCGCCGGCUAACUACGUG